CUUAGCGCGGAAACCAGACUGAAGCGGGUCUAGCAGAGAGUUGGACUCGAGGAAGUCUGUCAAUCUCGCAUACACAAUUUUUUCAAGGAUCUUGGAUGCAAAAGGCAGUAGCGAGAUAGGACGAUAGUUGGAUGGGGAGUUAGGGUCAAGAUUGGGCUUCUUUAGAAUUGGGGUUACAGUUGCAUGUUUGAAGGGCAAUGGAAAUAUACCAGAGGAGAGAGAGAGAGAGAUUGAGAAUUUUAGUGAGAGGUGGAGAAAGAGUAGAAGACAGAGUACGGAUGAGAUGCGAGGGAA